AAUAAAUGGGGAAUGGAGUGGGGAUGAGGAAAUCAUUCCCCACAUAGGGAUUCUCCAUCUCCACCCCACUAAAUUUAUUGGGGAAUGGGGUGGGGAAUGGAGGUAAAAAAUUUUAAUGGGGUGGGGAAUGGGGUAGGCCUCCCCACCCCCACCCCACCCCAUUGCCAUCCCUAAAAAUGCUUGGUAUCUAAAAGGGCGUUUUACUCCCAAAACCUCUCGUCAUUCUUUAAUUAAAAAAAUUAAAAUAUCAAUAAAAAAUAAUAAAGGAAAUAGAUUCUCUCGUGCUUCUCUCACCUUUCUAGAUGCCUAGCAGCACUCGUUAGGAUAAGUAUCGUGUACAUUUUAACAUGUGUAUAGUGUAUGCUACGUGUCAUGUAAGGAAACAUCCGGGUAGAGAUCAAUUUUUCAAAUAAUAGAAUCGACACAUUACAUCACCUUAAAAUUAAAUAAUCAACCCUCGAUCUGUCACAUAUUGUCUUUUUGAUGAAAAAUUAUAAUCCUAUUCAUUAUCAGCAAUUUAUUUUGUCGAUUAAUUAAAUUUUAAUGAUGGCAAAGAAAUGGGUGCAGCUAGCUUGCAAGAUUUCGUACCCCCAUUUUUUUUAUCAUUCUGUAAUCGAUCCAUUGGAUCUAAUGCAAGAAUUGCAAAAGUGAAUCCAAUGUUGGGGAUGUAUUUACUUAAGGUAAUUAACAUUACAAUCCUUCUAAUUUCCUAAAAGAUCAGGAAAAAUACAUAAUUAUUAUUAUCUUACUCUCACUCUCGGAAAUCAUCCUCCUCUCUCCUUCUUACGGAAACCGUGAGUCAUCUUUAGAUUGUCAACUUUUUUUUCCCCUCAAGCAAUUAUAAUGCAUGAUUUGUAAACCAUCCAUGAGAGUCAGAGCACCUUAAAAUACAAAAUAAAACCUACAAUUACCCCUUAUUUCGAUAAGAUAGAUCAUUUGAUUUAUUUCACCAAUACAUUCAUAAUCUCCCAAUUAUUACUAUCAGUUUUUAAAUCUACUCCGAUAAUUAAAUAUCUAUAAAAUUGAGAAGAUACAUAACAUGAACUAGGAAAUGAAGAGGAAUUAUUGUUUCCUCUGUUUUUAUUUCUUUGGUUUUAUUAUAGGAAAAAAAAUAGAGCUGAGUAUUGGUAAAAUUAUUAUAACUUGUCAUUUCAUGUAUAUUUGAUGAAAUUUUUAGAGACUUAUAAUGAGUUUAUUAAUUAUAUAUUGUUUAAUAGUUAUAUAAUUCAUGUAAAAAUUUCUAAGAACAUUGUGUUGGUGUAUUUUAUUAGUGGCCCAUGUGCCACAUUGUUGAAUUGGUCAUAUUUGGGUUUAAAUAAUAGAAUAAAUUAUGAGCUGAAAUCUUAUUGGUUAUUAAGGAAAAAUUAACAACACACUUUAAUGGAAAAUGAGAAUUAUGAUUUUAUUAAAAUUGGUCCUCUGUCCACCCAUAUAAAAAAGAUAUCACGUUAAUUUUCUAUCUAUUAGAAAAGAGAGAGAAAUCGAUUUUGUCAAAUCUUUAAUUUUUAUAGUAAAACUUGAUCAAGAAAAUUGUUAUGGAUCAAGAUAUGUCUUCUCUCAAUUAUAAUAAUCUGAAAAUCAUGAUAUUUUAUGAUUUUAGAGAUUGAAGUUUAUAUAAAUUAGGGUUUUUUAUUUUAUUUUAUGAAAAUUGUAAAAAAUCCCAACAAUUGGUAUCAGUGCCUUGUUUGAGAUUCAUGAUUUUCCAUAUAUAUAUAUAUAUAUAAUCGGCAUAUUAUUGCAAGUUUUACUUUUAAGGCUUUUGUCAAGAUUGCGAUUUCGGUCUCUUGUUCUCAUGAAUUGCUGCUCAUGAAUCUCGUUGCCAUUAUAAUGAAUAAUGGGCUUUUAUACUUUAUUUUAUUUUUAAGAUCAAGACAAUAUAAAUGGCCAUCACAUGUCUCCAACCGAAAUCUUCAUAUGCAAUUUCUUUAUGACCCACGAAAUUUUAAUAUGUUACGAUUAUUGAACACUGUAUAACACAAUGAUUGUUAUUAUUACCCUUCAUCAAGCCAAAAUUCAUGGAGUAAUUGCAUGUGCAAUUUCAGUUUAUUCUUGAUGUUCUAUUCCAUUAAAUUAUGGAUAUGAUUGAUUGAAUUCAGUAUGAUAAAGCUACUGAUUUUAUGUGUAUCAAGCCUUAUAAUUUUUGUUCUCAUAAUUUUGAAUGCUUCCGCUCAUUAAUUGAUUGUUUCUGAAAUUUCUUAAUGUACCCAUUUUAAUGGUUGAGAUUUCAAUUAGUGUCUGUAAUUUAUUCAGCUACAAAUUACAGUAAUAAAGAAAACAGCUUCAAAGUCAUGUAGUUAAUCUAAGUUAAAUAAGCACAAACAUAAGUUUAGUACCUUGCAUAGCAUAGUGUUAAAACAUUAUUUUGCACUGACUUAUUGCUGACCCCUGUUUAAAAAUUUUGAAAGUUGCAUUCUAAAGCAUUACACUGCACCAAGUCGCAUUGUAGAGCAUUAUAAUGCACCUUGAUGCAGAUAUACUAGGGAUGGCAAACAACGGGCUUGGGCCGGGCUUUUUCAAGCCCAUAUUCAGGCCCACUGUCAAUUAAGCGUGCGGGCCUGAGCUGAACUUGGGCUUUAUUUAUUUUAAAAAUUUUAAAUUAUUGUAAAUUUGAAAUAAAUUAAUGAUCAACAAGU
rnacentral:lncRNA from 1 species